rnacentral:rRNA from 1 species
UGGGGAAUAUUACACAAUGGGCGCAAGCCUGAUGCAGCCAUGCCGCGUGUGUGAAGAAGGCCUUCGGGUUGUAAAGCACUUUCAGCGGGGAGGAAGGCGAUAAGGUUAAUAACCUUGUCGAUUGACGUUACCCGCAGAAGAAGCACCGGCUAACUCCGUGCCAGCAGCCGCGGUAAUACGGAGGGUGCAAGCGUUAAUCGGAAUUACUGGGCGUAAAGCGCACGCAGGCGGUCUGUCAAGUCGGAUGUGAAAUCCCCGGGCUCAACCUGGGAACUGCAUUCGAAACUGGCAGGCUAGAGUCUUGUAGAGGGGGGUAGAAUUCCAGGUGUAGCGGUGAAAUGCGUAGAGAUCUGGAGGAAUACCGGUGGCGAAGGCGGCCCCCUGGACAAAGACUGACGCUCAGGUGCGAAAGCGUGGGGAGCAAACAGG